AUAUUUUGUCUUUAAAAAAAAGCCGAACCGAACAUGCGGGUAACCGAACCGACCGAAAUUAUAAAAUUUAAUUUAAAAAAAAUAAAAAAUAAACUUUUAUCCAUUUAUUCCAAUCAAUUUUUAUUUACAGUAUUGAAAAUUUUAAAUUUCCCCCUUAAAUUUUCCCCCUCAAUUUUCACAUACUACUCCAGCCCAAUAGGCCCAACCAUCCAAUACUCCAAUAGGCAAUAGCAAAGUAAAAUUAGGGUUUUACUCUAGGCUUCCAACUUUCAGUUUCACUUUUCACCUUCAACAUUUCAACUUCCUCAAAACAUUGAAAGAGAAAGAGAGACCCUAAGCGAGUAAGCGCCGUUCUGAGCAUUCUCCAAUCUCCACCUCCGGCGACUUCAUCCAUCAUGUUUGGUCAUGGAGGAACGCAUGUCGACCCCUUCCACUGGAAGCCCCUCGCCGAACUUUGAAGGAUAUUAAUUAACAAGACUCCUAAUGUUGGAAAAUGGAGGUUACUCAGGCUGAUGUAUGGUUGUAUGCACUAUUGCACUCUUGCAGAUUGUAUGGAAUUUUGUUUUAAAUGUUAAAUGUUGGAUAUUUUUAUGUUAUGAAAUUUGUGAACCUGAUAAUGGCUGAUAAUGGUUGUAUGCACUCUUGCAGAUUGUAUGGAAUUUUAUUUGGCGAUUUGCUAAGCUGAUGUAUGGCAGAUUCUAUAAAUACGCUGAAUAUUCAUUGAAUUUGUUAUUUUA